rnacentral:lncRNA from 1 species
CAGGCGUGCUGGAGUGGUAAAAUCUACAACAGUAAAUACCGAUAAGAGCAGUAGAAACAAAAGGAAGUACUACAUUCUUAUUCUGGCAAUAAUAAAUCUGCCGAAAGUGCUCCUUAAGGUGAAUUGUUUUUUCUUGAUUAUAAUCCUUGGGUCUGCUCAUUGGUGCUGUGUGCUGUUGAAUCUGUUUAUACGUUUGUAAGCUGAAGAUGGCAAUAAUAAAUCUGCCGAAAGCACUCCUUAAAGAGAAUUGUUGUUUCUUGAUUAUAAUCCUUAGGUCUGCUCAUUAGUGCUGUGUACUAUUGAAUCUAAUAAAUAUAUCUGUUUCUUAUAUGUUAUAAUAGUUUAAACAUUGUAAGAAUUUUGUAGAUGUGUCCACUGUGUAUGUAUAGUGAGUUAAUUUUGCUGUACAUCAUUGUCCUAAUUUCUUCUCUAAGGGAGUGAGUAAUGAGAAUGAUUUAUCCACCAUUGAUCUUAUUGCUGUGGGUUGUUUGUGAGUUUUGACAAGUCCAUAUAAUGGCAGAUAUAAGGAAUUAUACAGUAGACAUAUAGACUAUAUGAACGCAUCCAAUGCAGAACUUUUAUCCAUAGAUCAAACUCAUAAUUUAACUGAUACCAUACAAAGAAUGAUGAAUAGACCUGAUUUCCCAGAAAUUUGGAAGGUCAAACUAUUGCAUAAUUCAUUAUGCCUGCCAUUAUAUAACUUGUCAAAUAAAAUGCAAAAUUUGAUUGUUUUGUUAAUUUUUAUGAAUAGUAAUAAUACAUACAAAAAUUACACACACACACACACACACACACACACACACACACACACACACACACACA